UUCCACUAGGAUGACCUUAAUAAGAGAGGCACCUGCUUCCACUGAAUGACCAUAUUACAAAGGAUGUCUCUCAAAUCUGAGUUUACGUCAACACCAACAUUCAGAUCUAAGAGAUGUUCUUACACCCUAAUAUAAAAGGAAAAAGUGGAAGACAUUCUCAAAAUUUCUUCCCAACCCACGACUUUCUGUCGCUCCUCUCAAAAUCGCUAGAGAGACACACCAGCAAAGGAAACUCAAUGGCGAGUCUGCACACUAGGAAACUUGUCAGCGACUACACUGGUAUUACAUGGCUAGUGUUCUUUUCUCUCUCUACCGCUCUCUCCUCCGUUUUAGUGGAUUUCCUUCCUUUGUCAAGGUUAGCAGUGGCAAAGAUUUCUACAGACCACCGCGACUUUGCAUAAUUGUGAUUAGACCUAGUUCUGGGGUGACAGGUAAAAAGAAGAAGAAGAAAUGAAGUGCAAAAAAGAUUAGUAGUCCUUUGAAGGUGAUAGCUAAUGCAAUUGUGGAGAUGGCCAGGCAUGACUCCUGGAAGGAAUUUGCAUAAAACUUAUGUGUUGAGAUUGAUGCACUACUAGGAGUUGAGUUCGAAAAAAGAUUGUGUGCUAAACAAUUCUUCAUGCAACAGGACUUAGCUUCCAUCUUCUUGAAUGCCAAUGAGGCAGAUAAGCCCACGGUGUUUGAAUACUACAUGAAGAAUAGCGAGGUUGGUGGUAAAGAGUGAGGAGGCGUCACUUUAUUUCCUUAUGAUUUGUGUGUUGUUUCAAAACAUGAGUAAAUGGUUAGAGAAUUUAGUUUAUUGACUUGAAUUUAGACUUAUGUUAGUUGCUUAGAUUAUUCCUAUGAAUAUAUGUUUAAGAAUUUAGUGUUUAUGACUUUCUUUA